AUACAAGGUGAUGAUAAUGGAUAACCUCAUACAUUAAUUAUAACAAAAAGAGAGGUUACAAGAGUCAUAAUAUAUAUCAAUGAGCAUAAAGCUCUCGUACAUUCAACAAAAUACCACAACUAAGUAGUAUGUAACCUAAAAAAUCUAAUACAAAAUGAUCAGAUCAGAUCAGUGAGAAUGGGCAUUGAGCUCAAGAUCAAGAUAAGUGAAACAUAAUCAGCCUCGACCUCGACUGAAAAGUCUGGUCCAAGUGAAAGAUGUC
rnacentral:lncRNA from 1 species